rnacentral:misc_RNA from 1 species
UUUUUUUUUGGUGUCACAUCUUGUUUUAUUUUAUGUGUUUAAUGUUACUCUCAUUCGCUCCAUUCUUUUUGCCAUCACCUUUUGUCAUUAUUCUAUUUCAACUUUAGGCUGACUUGAGUUUUACUCUUUUUAAAUGUAUAUUGUCACUACUUGUUUGAAGAAGUGUCGCACACCACUCUAACAUUCACAUGAAAAUUAUGUGCUAACGGAAGUCAAAUGUGGUUGUGUUUUGCAUCUCGUUUUAUUUCAUGUAUUUGAUGUUACACCCUCCAGCUCGAAUCUUCUCGUAAAUGCG